rnacentral:rRNA from 1 species
UCAGGAUGAACGCUAGCUACAGGCUUAACACAUGCAAGUCGAGGGGCAGCAUUGGGAUAGCUUGCUAUUCCAGAUGGCGACCGGCGCACGGGUGCGUAACACGUAUCCAAUCUACCCAUGGCUCGGGGAUAGCCUUUCGAAAGAAAGAUUAAUACCCCGAUGGUCUCGCAUUAGGGCAUCCUUGUGUGAGUAAAGAUUCAUCGGCGAUGGAUGGGGAUGCGUCCGAUUAGGUAGUAGGCGGGGUAACGGCCCACCUAGCCGACGAUCGGUAGGGGUUCUGAGAGGAAGGUCCCCCACACUGGAACUGAGACACGGUCCAGACUCCUACGGGAGGCAGCAGUGAGGAAUAUUGGUCAAUGGUCGGGAGACUGAACCAGCCAAGUAGCGUGAGGGACGACGGCCCUACGGGUUGUAAACCUCUUUUGUUUGGGAAUAAAGUGCCGCACGCGCUGCGGUUUUGUAUGUACCUUACGAAUAAGCAUCGGCUAAUUCCGUGCC